GGUCACGAGAACCAGCGCCAAGCCCCGGCUCGCUGGUCGGCAACCCCGGUCACGCGCGGGGUGCUCCGGGGGACGACCUGGCCGGCCCACGGGCCGGCAAACGUGACGG
rnacentral:ncRNA from 2 species